rnacentral:rRNA from 1 species
CCUACGGGAGGCAGCAGUGGGGAAUAUUGCACAAUGGGCGAAAGCCUGAUGCAGCCACGCCGCGUGAAGGAAGAAGUCUUUCGGUUUGUAAACUUCUAUCAGCAGGGAAGAAAAUGACGGUACCUGUAUCAGAAGCCCCGGCUCAUUACGUGCCAGCAGCCGCGGUCAUACGUCGGGUGAGAGCGUUCAUCGGAAUUACUGGGCGUAACGCGCUCGUUGGCGGUAUGUCAAGUCAAGGGUGAACUCCCCGCGCUCAACGUGGGAACUGCCUUUGAAACUGGCAAACUGGAGUGUGUGAGAGGAGAGUGGAAUGACAGGGGUAGGAGUGAAAUGCGUAGAUAUCUGGAGGAACAUCAGUGGCGAAGGCGACUAUCUGGCACAUAACUGACGCUGAGGAGCGAACGCGUGGGUAGCAAACAGGAUUAGAUACCCCAGUAGUC